UCCGGAAUUACUGGGUUUAAAGGGUGCGUAGGCGGUUAUGUAAGUGAGGACGUGAAAUUCCACAGCUUAACUGUAGGGACUGCUUUUGAUACUGCAUAACUUGAACCAAGAUGAGGUAGGCGGAAUGUGGCAUGUAGCGGUGAAAUGCAUAGAUAUGCCAUAGAACACCGAUUGCGAAGGCAGCUUACUAGACUUGUGUUGACGCUGAGGCACGAAAGCGUGGGGAGCGAACAGG
rnacentral:rRNA from 1 species